UAGAAAUCGGGCCGCCCAUUAAUACCCGUUUACGUCGGAAAGCCCAGAAGCCCGCGGCGCUCCGCCGCGUAUUCAAUCAAACUCUCAACGCCUGAUUCAGUUUUCACUCCUCCACAGAAAUCGAUCCCGAUCAACCUUAGCUCAGACGAUGGGGCGGAAGAAAGGGGCGACGCUGGUGCACGACGGGCCGCCGGACGACUUCGACCCGGAGAACCCCUACCGGGACCCGGUGGCGAUGCUCGAGAUGAGGGAGUAUCUAGUCAGGGAGAAGUGGAUCGACAUCGAGAAGGCUAAGAUCUUGAGAGAGAAGGUCAAAUGGUGCUACCGAGUCGAAGGCAUCAACCAUCUCCAGAAAUGCCGCCACCUCGUGCACCAGUAUCUCGAAUCCACCCGCGGCAUCGGCUGGGGGAAGGACCACCGCCCCCACGCCUUCCACGGUCCCAAGGUGGAGGCGGCUGCGGAGUGAAUUGUUGAAUAAUUUGAGGUAAUCAUGUUUAUCCAGCAAGCUGAUGUAUGUGAGAUCUGUCUGCAUGACAAUCAGCAUUUUUCUGGUGACUGGAGUUCCCUAGAUGGAUGCAGUUCAAGUUUGCAGGGGUGUGUGUGCUCGAGCAUUUCUUCUUAUUUGCUUGUGUGCUUGUAGAAACUGCAGUUUCUGGGAGCUCCCUUCACUCCAAUCUGUGGGUAAAGGAAACUGAAGGAGUUGCUUCCACCUCAUGCACUGUUUAAACUCAAACCACCUCUUAGUUUGGCCAAAUGCAUGAGAGGGCAGCUCGAUUCACUUCUCAGCCCUCGUUGUUGGACCGAAGGAAGCUCUUCCGAUUUCUGGCAUGAACUCAAACAAGUAAGAUCCUCGUUUUUGGAAGAGAAUGUAUGUUGUAGACUUGUAGGGAUGGGAGAGGCUUGCCUCUUUAUAUUGUGACUGGGGUUAAAACUUUCUACAACUGUUCUGGUCUCAUCCCCAAUUUUGAUGUUACUUCUUUGAUAUAAAUCCCCAUAACUGAUUGUUGUUUCCCCUUUCUCGGCAACCAGAUUAUGUGACCGUAUCAUGCAGACAUCUUUUCUGAUA